GGUGGUGAGGUUCCUGCUUGCGAUGAGGCUCCACCUGUGCCUGCUCACCUCACUCCCUCCCGUCUACCGCACCCAGCUGCUCCACCAGGGUGGUGAGGUUCCUGCUUGCGAUGAGGCUCCACCUGUGCCUGCUCACCUCACUCCCUCCCGUCUACCGCACCCAGCUGCUCCACCAGGAAAUCAACUCUUCACAGAAACCAGAAAACACAUGCGGACGAGAAGCCAUUCAAUUGUUCUGUGUUGGAGAGGACACGAAACAAGCAUGAG